rnacentral:rRNA from 1 species
GAUGAACGCUGGCGGCGUGCCUAAUACAUGCAAGUCGAGCGAACGGACGAGAAGCUUGCUUUUCUGAUGUUAGCGGCGGACGGGUGAGUAACACGUGGAUAACCUACCUAUAAGACUGGGAUAACUUCGGGAAACCGGAGCUAAUACCGGAUAAUAUUUUGAACCGCAUGGUUCAAAAGUGAAAGACGGUCUUGCUGUCACUUAUAGAUGGAUCCGCGCUGCAUUAGCUAGUUGGUAAGGUAACGGCUUACCAAGGCAACGAUGCAUAGCCGACCUGAGAGGGUGAUCGGCCACUCUGGAACUGAGCCACGGUCCAGACUCCGACGGGCGGCAGCAGUAGGGAAUCUACCGCAAUGGGCGAAAGCCUGACGGAGCAACGCCGCGUGAGUGAUGAAGGUCUUCGGAUCGUAAAACUCUGUUAUUAGGAAGAACAUAUGUGUAAGUAACUGUGCACAUCUUGACGGUACCUAAUCAGAAAGCCACGGCUAACUACGUG